rnacentral:lncRNA from 1 species
UUUUCUAUUCAGCUAUUCUUGUGCUUGAACGUUACCUUCCUAUAUAUAUAUAUAGGCUAAAGGAUAGAAAGAAAACGGUAAGACAAUCCAUGUUUUACCAUCCAUAUUUUUUGAUUUUUUUCCUGCAAAUCUUAUCGCUCCAAUUAAAGCUUCCAAUACUUCUUUUCUUAACCCCAUAUCCUGUAACUAAAAGGAAAGGCACGCAAGUGUUAUGUUCCUUCCAAAUCAACAUGUUCUUUUCUUUUUUUUUCCCUUCCUCUCUGGGACAGAUAAACGGUUGCUGACUUGGCACUGUAGGUUUUCUCAACCUUUGGUCC